GCAAAGUCGAGCGAGCUUGCCUAUGAAAAUUACUUCGGUAAAUGGGACAUAGAUACAAAAGCUAGCGGCGGGGAUGGGUGAGUAACGCUGGGUAACCUGCCCUUAAGUCUGGGAUCCAUUUGAAACAGAUGCUAAUACCGGAUAAAAGCUACUUUCGCAUGAAAAGAAGUUUAAAAGGCGGCGUAAAGCUGUCGCUAAAGGAUGGACCUGCGAUGCAUUAGCUAGUUGGUAAGGUAACGGCUUACCAAGGCGAUGAUGCAUAGCCCGAGUUGAGAGACUGAUCGGCCACAUUGGGACUGAGACACGGCCCAAACUCCUACGGGAGGCAGCAGUAGGGAAUCUUCCACAAUGGACGAAAGUCUGAUGGAGCAACGCCGCGUGAGUGAAGAAGGUUUUCGGAUCGUAAAGCUCUGUUGUUGGUGAAGAAGGAUAGAGGUAGUAACUGGCCUUUAUUUGACGGUAAUCAACCAGAAAGUCACGGCUAACUACGUGCCAGCAGCCGCGGUAAU
rnacentral:rRNA from 1 species